GUCCCAUUUUCUACCCUAGAUGUGAAUGUGAAAAGGGUUACUUCCCUCCUGUUACCGCAAUACACAUAUGUAUGAUGUAAGCAAGUUACCUCUUGGGUGAAUGCUGUGCAUUACCUUAUUCACAAAAUGGUGAAAGACAUUUACAGCCAUAUAGACAAAAACAGAAAAAUUGAUAACCUGCGCCUAAAACCUAUAAAUCUUUAGGUGGAAUCAAAAACAGGGUCUUGUUUGAUGACGAAUCUCUCAAAAAGACAAAAAGGAUUCCACCUAACGAUUUAAAGGUUUUAGGCACGGGUUAUCAAUUUUUCUGUUUUGGUCUAUUUUGUGUUGUCACAAGGUUGGGGAUAACACCUCAUAUCCAUUUACAGCCAUAUCUACA